AUUGAACGCUGGCGGCAGGCCUAACACAUGCAAGUCGAGCGAGCGGCGGACGGGUGCGUAAUGUCUGGGAAACUGCCUGCUGGCGGGGGAUAACUCCUGGAAACGGUAUCUAAUACCGCAUACCAUCAGAUGUGCCCAGAUGGGAUUAGCUAGUAGGUGGGGUAACGGCUCACCUAGGCGACGAUCCCUAGCUGUUCUGAGAGGAUGACCAGCCACACUGGAACGGAGACACGGGCCAGACGCCUACGGGAGGCAGCAGUGGGGAAUAUUGCACAAUGGGCGAAAGCCUGAUGCAGCCAUGCCGAGUGUGUGAAGAAGGCCUUCGGGUUGUAAAGCACUUUCAGCGGGGAGGCGUUACCCGCAGAAGAAGCACCGGCUAACUCCGUGCCAGCAGCCGCGGUAAUAC
rnacentral:rRNA from 1 species